rnacentral:tRNA from 1 species
GCAUCACACCCGCUCAGUGGAUCUCCCUACGCAUCUGGCACCUGACCUGCGGGCGGCCCCGGUCGACAACGUGCCGGG